UUUACACGCAGGGAGAUGUGCUCAGCUGUGAUUAACGCUCUCCCAGCAGAAGGACCUGUGUGGAUACCUCAACUGUAGAUCUUUGAAGUGACGGACAGCUGGACAAACCGUGCGCCAAUCCUGAUUGGACGAGGCAUCAUCACCGUUGACACGAUGUGCUCAUUGCUUGAAGAGAGAAAGAAAUCAGCACGGGUCAGAGAAUUUGGCAUUCUACUGUACAACACUUUGCAUUUGUGCACGUGCGUCUGUUUGUGUGUUUGUGCAAGUUUCCAAGUGAGUUUGUUUCUCUGUCUCUGUGGUGUGUAUGUCUAUGUUUGUGUGUGUAUGCAUCCUUGGGUCUAUGUGUCUGUGUGUCUACACGCAUGAUUGCGUCAAUGUAUGCGCGUGCGUGCAUGCUUGUGUCUAUGUGAGUGUGUACAUGCAUGCUUGUGUCUAUGUGUGUGUACAUGCAUUCUUGUGUCCAUGUGAGUGUGUGCAGGCAUGCUGGUGUUCCC
ensembl:lncRNA